rnacentral:rRNA from 1 species
AUUCCAGCUCCAAUAGCGUAUAUUAAAGUUGUUGCAGUUAAAAAGCUCGUAGUUGGAUUUCUGGUGGGAGCGAUCGGUCUGGCGCUUAGCGCGAGUACUUGCAUCGUCUCCGGCCAUCCUUGGGGAGAGUUUGUCUGGCAUUAAGUUGUCGGGCAGAGGAUCCUCAUCGUUUACUGUGAAAAAAUUAGAGUGUUCAAAGCAGGCUUAUGCCGUUGAAUAUAUUAGCAUGGAAUAAUAAGAUAGGACUUUGGUACUAUUUUGUUGGUUUCGAACACCGGAGUAAUGAUUAACAGGGACAGUCAGGGGCACUCGUAUUCCGCCGAGAGAGGUGAAAUUCUCAGACCAGCGGAAGACGAACCACUGCGAAAGCAUUUGCCAGGGAUGUUUUCAUCA